GAUGAACGCUGGCGGCGUGCCUAAUACAUGCAAGUCGAGCGAACAGACGAGGAGCUUGCUCCUCUGAUGUUAGCGGCGGACGGGUGAGUAACACGUGGAUAACCUACCUAUAAGACUGGGAUAACUUCGGGAAACCGGAGCUAAUACCGGAUAAUAUAUUGAACCGCAUGGUUCAAUAGUGAAAGACGGUUUUGCUGUCACUUAUAGAUGGAUCCGCGCCGCAUUAGCUAGUUGGUAAGGUAACGGCUUACCAAGGCAACGAUGCGUAGCCGACCUGAGAGGGUGAUCGGCCACACUGGAACUGAGACACGGUCCAGACUCCUACGGGAGGCAGCAGUAGGGAAUCUUCCGCAAUGGGCGAAAGCCUGACGGAGCAACGCCGCGUGAGUGAUGAAGGUCUUCGGAUCGUAAAACUCUGUUAUUAGGGAAGAACAAAUGUGUAAGUAACUGUGCACGUCUUGACGGUACCUAAUCAGAAAGCCACGGCUAACUACGUG
rnacentral:rRNA from 1 species